rnacentral:rRNA from 1 species
UACAGAGGGUGCAAGCGUUAAUCGGAAUUACUGGGCGUAAAGGGCUUGUAGGCGGUCAUAUAAGUUAGAUGUGAAAACCCCGGGCUUAACCUGGGACGUGCAUUUAAUACUGUAUGGCUAGAGUAUGGUAGAGGAAAGGGGAAUUUCCGGUGUAGCAGUGAAAUGCGUAGAUAUCGGAAGGAACAUCAGUGGCGAAGGCGCCUUUCUGGACUAAUACUGACGCUGAGGAGCGAAGGCGUGGGGAGCAAACAGG